rnacentral:rRNA from 1 species
CCUACGGGAGGCAGCAGUGGGGAAUUUUGGACAAUGGGCGAAAGCCUGAUCCAGCCAUGCCGCGUGCAGGAUGAAGGCCUUCGGGUUGUAAACUGCUUUUGUACGGAACGAAAAGGUCUUUUCUAAUAAAGAAGGCUCAUGACGGUACCGUAAGAAUAAGCACCGGCUAAUACCGUGCCAGCAGCCGCGGUAAU